GAUGAACGCUGGCGGCGUGCCUAAUACAUGCAAGUCGAGCGAACGGACGAGAAGCUUGCUUCUCUGAUGUUAGCGGCGGACGGGUGAGUAACACGUGGAUAACCUAUCUAUAAGACUGGGAUAACUUCGGGAAACCGGAGCUAAUACCGGAUGAUAUUUUGAACCGCAUGGUUCAAAAGUGAAAGACGGUCUUGCUGUCACUUAUAGAUGGAUCCGCGCUGCAUUAGCUAGUUGGUAAGGUAAUGGCUUACCAAGGCAACGAUGCAUAGCCGACCUGAGAGGGUGAUCGGCCACACUGGAACUGAGACACGGUCCAGACUCCUACGGGAGGCAGCAGUAGGGAAUCUUCCGCAAUGGGCGAAAGCCUGACGGAGCAACGCCGCGUGAGUGAUGAAGGUCUUCGGAUCGUAAAACUCUGUUAUUAGGGAAGAACAUAUGUGUAAGUAACUGUGCACAUCUUGACGGUACCUAAUCAGAAAGCCACGGCUAACUACGUG
rnacentral:rRNA from 1 species